CCACAGUCCUGGACAGGACCUGGGAGAGUGGCCCUGUAGGUUUGGUCAACUCAGUGUGUGUCAAUGGGAAAAACCGAGAUCAUCCCCUCAAAGUAGAGAUAGCCAGAGUGAGGCCACAGCGAUUUUAUUUGGAGAAUGAAGGGCAGAACCACAGAGAUCUCAGGAGGGAGGGCAAAGGUAACUCAUCGUCAUCCACAGAGAGGGGACUCAGGAUUACGCUGUGCGUCCAGGCCAUCUUCCCUCCCAGCCCAGCCUUGGCACAAGUCGGCCCCAGGAUCAUCAUGUGAUAGAGCCUGAAGCCUGUCUCCCCAAGUCCCUGGAAAGUAGACAUCUGUGACAAUCCUCCCGAAUCCCAGGGCACAGGGAGCAUGGCUGAGCACGCCAGACUGCCUGGGCUCAAAUUCUG
rnacentral:lncRNA from 1 species